GAUGAAGAACGCAGCGAAAUGCGAUACGUAAUGUGAAUUGCAGAAUUCAGUGAAUCAUCGAGUCUUUGAACGCACAUCGCGCCCCCUGGUAUUCCGGGGGGCAUGCCUGUCCGAGCGUCAUUGCUGCCCUCAAGCACGGCUUGUGUGUUGGGCCUCCGUCCUCCUCCCGGGGGACGGGCCCGAAAGGCAGCGGCGGCACCGCGUCCGGUCCUCGAGCGUAUGGGGCUUCGUCACCCGCUCUUGUAGGCCCGGCCGGCGCUUGCCGACACAUCAAUCUUUUUUCCAGGUUGACCUCGGAUCAGGUAGGGAUACCCGCUGAACUUAAGCAUAUCAAUAAGCGGAGGA
rnacentral:misc_RNA from 1 species